rnacentral:rRNA from 1 species
AUUGAACGCUGGCGGCAGGCCUAACACAUGCAAGUCGAGCGGAGCGGCGGACGGGUGCGUAAUGCCUAGGAAUCUGCCUGGUAGUGGGGGAUAACGUCCGGAAACGGGCGCUAAUACCGCAUACUAUCAGAUGAGCCUGGGUCGGAUUAGCUAGUUGGUGGGGUAAAGGCCUACCCAGGCGACGCUCCGUAACUGGUCUGAGAGGAUGAUCAGUCACACUGGAACUGAGACACGGCCCAGACUCCUACGGGAGGCAGCAGUGGGGAAUAUUGGACAAUGGGCGAAAGCCUGAUGCAGCCAUGCCGCGUGUGUGAAGAAGGUCUUCGGAUUGUAAAGUACUUUAAGCUGGGAGGCGUUACCAGCAGAAGAAGCACCGGCUAACUCCGUGCCAGCAGCCGCGGUAAUUC